rnacentral:rRNA from 1 species
CCUACGGGGGGCAGCAGUGGGGAAUAUUGCACAAUGGGGGAAACCCUGAUGCAGCGACGCCGCGUGAGUGAAGAAGUAUUUCGGUACGUAAAGCUCUAUCAGCAGGGAAGAAAAUGACGGUACCUGACUAAGAAGCUCCGGCGAAAUACUUGCUAGCAGCCGCGGUAAUACGUAGGGGGCAAGCGUUCUCCGGUUUUACUGGGUGGAACGGGAGCGUAGACGGCGGCGCAAGUCUGAAGUUAAAUACGUGGGCUUAACCAUGGAACUGCUAGGGAAACUGUGCAGCUGGAGUGCAGGAGAGGUAAGCAGAAUUCCUAGUGUAGCGGUGAAAUGCGUAGAUAUUAGGAGGAACACCAGUGGCGAAGGCGGCUAACUGGACGGUAACUGACGCUGAGGCUCGAAAGCGUGGGGAGCAAACAGGAUUAGAUACCCCAGUAGUC